AAAUCGGAAAAAAACGUGCACAUUUUCUUCUUUUAGAAAUCACCAUAAUAAUGAAUUUGAAUCGACAAGAGACAUUUCAUUCCUGUAUUGCACCUGAACCAAAACUACCCAAAUUCAAGCAUCUCUGAACUUCAGAGAAAGGAGAGAGGAAUCUGGACUUUAAACUAAAUUAUUGGUGUCUUCAGUGUGGAAAUAAAGUACUGUGCUCAUCGUUACUCAUCCUACCAACUUACCAGGGCUGUUAAAAUGUCAACGAUACGUAUUCACAUCACAAUAUCAGCAAGUGUGGAAGGCUGAAGUAGAACACGCCUGAGCGCAUCACUCUCUAGAUUUCAGGGUAGACUUUGGAAGAAUUUUAACAAGCCAAGGCCAGAUCCCAUGUAUGAAACCCAGGUAGCACAUACAACUGAACUGCAACCAAUUCCUCAAGAAGGCAACUCCAAAACUC